GACAGAGGGUGCAAACGUUGUUCGGAAUUACUGGGCGUAAAGCGCGUGUAGGCUGCUUCGAAAGUCGGAUGUGAAAGCCCUGGGCUCAACCUAGGAAGUGCAUUCGAAACUUCGAGCUGGAGUCCUGGAGAGGAAGGCGGAAUUCUCGGUGUAGAGGUGAAAUUCGUAGAUAUCGAGAGGAACACCGGUGGCGAAGGCGGCCUUCUGGACAGUGACUGACGCUGAGA
rnacentral:rRNA from 1 species